GCUAGUUUGGAUAGAGGAAGUUUUCGCUGUGACAUUCCUUCUGGCUCUUGAUGACAGACCAUGGCUGUUCUGUUUUCUGGCUGGUAGCUGGUUGGUUACAUUGACAGAUGUUGCAAUGAUUCUUUUGGCAAUAUUCUGUUGUGCUGACUGUUCAAACAGGAAAUUCAUCUUUUAGUAUUUGCACAUGUUAAAUGUUUGUUUUAGUAGGAAUCGCUCUGACAGCAGGCUGGUCAAACAGUGUAUUUUUGGAGCGGCAACCUCUGGAAUUCUCAAAGUCCUCAUCAUAUCCCAUAGAUCUUCUGGGGCCUGGCUUGGAGCCCUGUUCCAUGAAAUACUGCAGAACUGGAUUCUGAAGAGAGGCGACGUGAGCUGCUGAGCUCCAGGUUGCUGCUGUUUCCCUUUGUCAGGAUGAUGCGUUCCUGCAUGUGUUGGAUGGCACCUGGCUCAUAUCAUGCUGUGGUGUGGCACUCUGGGACACCUAGGAAGGUUUGCUGUGUGAUGGAGUCCAUGCUGUCUCCAUCCUUCCUUCAGUCUCCAGAUGCCUGGCAUACUGAGGUGGUCAUUUAUCUUAUGCUCAUGGAAGAGAACAGGAAGGUGGCUGUGUCUGUGCUGCAUGUUAGAAAGUGAGGGCCUGCUUGGGAAGCAUGGAACGAGAACUAGCCAGAGAAUUUAGUCUGAUGAAGCAGGUUUUCAUCUAAAUAUACUUGUCUGGUGGUAAGUCCCAUUCCAGGUGACUUAAUUCAGCCUUAGUCAGCUUCUCCUUUUAUGAACAGUUUGCAAAUGCUGAUGUGAUUUAACGUAAUGCAUUCUAACUUGUCUCCUAAAUUUUCACCAAGCAAAAUUGUGUGUGCUUACCUUGGAGCUGAGCGGCUGUCUCUUUGUAAGCUGUGGCAUUAGAGAUAGCCCGCCUGAGGCCCAUCCCUUCAGCUGAAGUUUAUAAAAUGUCAGAAGUUAUAAUAUUUACUUCUUUUCAGCACAGGCAGAGUACUUACAUAUGAGCUUAUUAUGGGAAGAAGCUGAAAUUAGACAGCCUUCUGCUACCUGUGGCAGAAAACAGGUUCGAUCUGAGCAGGACCUCUCCAGGCCCCUUCACCCUCGCUUGGGAGAGUUUGUAAGAGAUUUGGAGGGACAUAACAUUUAUUUCCUACUUCCCUGAGCUUCAGUCCAGGCCUUGGAAAAACCCAUCUGACAGUUUUGACCAGAGUCAUACUGGAUCCCUUGUUUCUGGAAGAGUUACGAAUGUGCUUUGCUAGGAAAUGCUGUUUCUUAAAGAGCUCGUGAAGCCUACAAGGUCUGCAUGCAUAAUAACUGCUGUGCAUGGCAACAUGUGGCCUGAACAGGACCUCACUGGCAUUGGCAGGAGAUGCUGCUGGCAGGUUCUUUAAUACAGAAGCUACUGGAAUACUUGGCAGCAACAUGUCAUGAGGACAUGGCAGUGACAGCUCAAUGCUGACCAGACUUCUUCAACCAAUAUUCAACACCUUUUAAACUGUAGAGGACCCCAAUCACAAGGCGUUGCUCUAAAUUGUGCUUCGAAGCCUUAGCCAAUAAAAUAAUUCAUGAUAGUGCAUGAAGCAGUCAUAUUUAU